rnacentral:rRNA from 1 species
UGGGGAAUUUUGGACAAUGGGCGAAAGCCUGAUCCAGCAAUGCCGCGUGUGUGAAGAAGGCCUUCGGGUUGUAAAGCACUUUUGUCCGGAAAGAAAUCCUUGGCUCUAAUACAGUCGGGGGAUGACGGUACCGGAAGAAUAAGCACCGGCUAACUACGUGCCAGCAGCCGCGGUAAUACGUAGGGUGCAAGCGUUAAUCGGAAUUACUGGGCGUAAAGCGUGCGCAGGCGGUUUGCUAAGACCGAUGUGAAAUCCCCGGGCUCAACCUGGGAACUGCAUUGGUGACUGGCAGGCUAGAGUAUGGCAGAGGGGGGUAGAACUCCACGUGUAGCAGCGAAAUGCGUAGAGAUGUGGAGGAAUACCGAUGGCGAAGGCAGCCCCCUGGGCCAAUACUGACGCUCAUGCACGAAAGCGUGGGGAGCAAACAGGAUUAGAUACCCUGGUAGUCCACGCCCUAAACGAUGUCAACUAGUUGUUGGGGAUUCAUUUCCUUAGUAACGUAGCUAACGCGUGAAGUUGACCGCCUGGGGAGUACGGUCGCAAGAUUAAAACUCAAAUGAAUUGACGGGGUCAUAGCUGUUUCCU